UUAAACAACACUAGCACUAACAAAACAUUAGUUUUAUCUUGAACGCGCUUCCACACCACACCACAACAGAACAGCAAUCAGCUAAAAACGAACAGCAUCAUCUGCUCAAUUCGACUCGUAUUUUUUUGUUCAGCUAGCGUGAUAUUUAUAUUGCAGAAGUGAAAUUUAAUUUUGUUUACGUUGGGCCACAAGAAAAGGAAAAUCAAAGAAACAGCAGCAAAAGAGAAGAAAAGUGAAAAUUGUUCUUUGCCGAAGCGAAACGGAGACGACGAAUAAUGAGUGUGUGUGUGCCGUCGCGUACUUGAAUCGAAUGUGGACCGAUCUGUGGAUCCACCUACUUACUGCUGCACCCCCGCAGAAGCCAUGCAAAACGAUGAUAUAUUAUUGUGUUUUAUUCCGCAAUGGAAGAGGCUUCUUUAACAAUCUGUGAGUGGCGUUGCCCGAGAACGUGAACGUGAACCAAAAAGGAGGACAAGUGGCAGAAUAAGAACUAGAUGUGGAUGUGCGUGCUAGCCAGUAAGACAAGUUAACAGAGACACUGACACUGACCCCCCACCCCACCGCACCCCACCCGACAAUCCACAAACACAUCGUCAUCGCCUCAUCGCCGCGUCGCCAAGCAACCGCCUCAUCAUGGCCAUCAAAGACUUUAGCAUACAAUUGCUAAUCACAUUAUUGCUCAUCGGAGCCCUGCUUGGCCAGCAGUUGCCCCGCGAAGAGACCAGCAGCAGCAGCAGCAGCAGUAGCACAACAGCACCUGGGCCGGCACGACCGCCGCCCCGCGUGAAGCUCAACAAAUGCUGCCAUUUGGGGGAGUAUCUGAAUGCCACCACCCGCUCCUGCAUAGCCGGCAAUUCGGAACUGUGGGUGCCCAUGGUGUAUCUCAUACAGCAGCAGCGCUUCUUUGAGCCCAUCGGCGCCAGUCCCCGCUUCAUGAAGUUCACCGCCCACGUGCGACCCGUCUGCCAGGAGCAGCAGCUGGAGCUGUUUAGCAGUCGGCUGGGCAAUGCCUUCAUUUUCCCCAAUGGCACGCUGUCGGUGCGCGAACGCCUGAUACUGGUGGAGCCACAAAACUAUUGCGUCGAUCGGGACGUGGCGUUGGUCUGCCUGGAAGCGCCCGCGGCAGGAGCAAUCAAUCGAGAGAAUGCCCUUGCAACGGGAACCGAGACAGCAGCCGCAUCCCUGGUGACGCAGCCUGCCACGCUGCGCAUGCGCAAAUGCUGUGGCAAGUGGGGCAGCUACGACACCAGCCUCAAGACCUGUAACCUGCAGCCCAGUCCCCCCACCGACGGUCAGCUCCGGCUGGGCCCGCAACUACCGGAGGGCAGCUAUCAGACCAGCUACGGCCUGCCCGAGUGCGUGAGCGUAGGAGUAGGCAUCAAUGCAAAUGCAAAUGCCAAUGUCGGCUAUGCCAUUGCCGGCGAUUGGCGCGAUGCUCAGCUGAAUCGCUCCUCGGGCGAGAUCCGGCUGUCGCAUCACACGAAUCUCAGUGCCAGCCAGUACUGCCUGGAGCACACGCAACGCGAGGGAGAGGUGAAAAUCAUUGCCUGUUCGCAUCACUUCUCAAACGCCCAGCACGGCGACGGGCAGGAUGGGGGCUCUAGCGGACUGGACGAGGAUGGCCAGAGCUCGGGCAUGCGGCUACAGAAAGCCGUACUAACCGGCGGCAUACUCAUUUCGGUGGUGUUUCUGGCGGCCACACUGGUGGCUGGCUUUAUGCUGCCCGCCGUCCAUCAUGCCCUGCACUGGCGCUGCCAGAUCUGCUACGUCUUCUGCCUACUGGUGGGCAAGGUGCUGCUGGCCAUCGAGGAGCUCAACACCUCGCUCAUGCCGGGAUCCGUGGCCUGUCUGCUGCUGGCCGUUGGCAUGCAGUUCUUCUUCCUGUCGGCCUUCUUCUGGCUGAACACGAUGUGCUUCAAUAUCUGGUGGACGUUCCGGGACUUUCGGCCGAGCUCCCUCGAACGGAAUCAGGAGGCACUGCGACUACUCCUCUACUCCGUGUACGCCUGGGGCGUGCCCCUGCUGAUCUCAACGAUAGCCGCCUGUGUGGACCAGCUACCGGAGACGACGCUGCUGAGGCCGGGCUUUGGGCAGCUCUAUUGCUGGUUCGACAAUCGAUCGGUCUCGAUUUUUGCCUACUUUUACGGACCCAUUGGGCUGCUGCUGUGCGCCAAUAUUGCCCUGUUCAUCUCCACCACCCACCAACUGACCUGCGGCCUGUGGAAGCGGGACGAUGUCAAGUCGUCCACGGAAAAGUCAGCCCUAGGCAAGGUCUGCCUCAAGCUGGUCGUCGUUAUGGGCGUCACCUGGAUAGCGGACAUUAUGUCGUGGCUGGUGGGCGGGCCCCAUGGCGCCUGGUUCGUUACCGAUCUGAUCAAUGCCCUACAGGGUGUCUUCAUUUUCAUUGUGGUGGGAUGCCAGCCGCAGGUGUGGACCGCCUGCCGGCGCAUCUGCUGUCCACGGCUCCGUCACGACAUCACCAACACCACCAAUGGAGUCCAGCACUCGAGCAGCUCCCAGGGCCUGCCCUCGAUGGCCGGCUGCGGGACAGAGUUUACCCAAAACACCACCACGAUGCAGUGCUCGGCCAGCUCGACGGCCCCCAGCAGUCUCUCCCCACCAAGUGGCGAUGCCACCACAGCUCCACCAACGACGACAAUAACGAACCCGACAAUGCCUCCGCCCACUGCAAAGAUGGAAACCGUUUGCUAAAGGCACAUGGAGAUAAUGUAUGCCAGUGUAUCUGCAUCUGGAGGAAAGGGAAAAUUGAAAAUUGAGUUUAAAUUGGACUCACCGGCGGCGGCAACGGCACCGGCAUCGGCAUCGGCGGGCGACGAAUAUGUGAUAAGCACCGCUUCGGCCGCCGUCUCAAGUGGUCUUGACACAUCGCAAAUGAGCCAAAGUAAACGCCAUCCCAUCCCAUUCCAGUAUUCAGAGACAACUGGAGACGAGACGAGCGACAAUGCGAAAGUAAACCCCCUCCCCCUUUCGAUCCCAUACCGAGUCCAACGAAAAUAAUGGCAAUGGAGCUGGGGGACUGGAGUAUCGUAUCCGAGGCACACUUGCGCAAUAGCAGCAACGGCAACAGCAGCAACAGCGUAACCAACAUUCAAGCACGCGCAUUGACCGGCCCAGCUAAUUGUCUAUGUGUUUGAGAGUGUGUGUAAAAGUGAGUGUAUGUGUGUGACCGUCUUGCGCGUGAUUUUGAAAUCAGCCAACAGGCGGCAGCAGAAGCAGAAGCAGGGGCAGCGGUAGCGGUAGCGGCCAAUGGCCGACAGUAAUUCAGUAUUCAACUUCAAUUUGAGCUAAACACAAAAGAAAUGUAAGAGUAUUUUAUUCAUAUACAUGAGUAUGUGUAUAUAAAUGUAUGUAACUUGAGCACAGCAUAACGGUAGGUUAGAUGGGGGAUAACAGGGCAGGACAGGGUCAGAUUAACACGUUUUAAUUGAAUUGAGCCCAGACAUGGGUAAGUGUUGCAAAACGCAAAACUACAUACAAAUACCGCAAACAGGAAUGCACAAUAGACAAAGCAGAGCUAUUGUUAAUGACGGGGGUUUUCUUCUCCUUCUACUCUUUCCAGGGAGAUCUCCAAUAGAACUUGGACAGCUGCCGCUGUCGCUGACGCCGCUGCUUCUGCUGCUGAAUGCAGCGCACAACCACAAGGAAUUUAUUGUUGAGGCAUUUUUGUUGUACUCUCGUGAUAUUCUGCUGUGGCUUUUCUAGCCUCACAAAAAUCUCAAGUGUGAGAAAACCAGCAGCCGCCAGCAGAUAGAACAAACAAACACACACACACACAUUCAUACGUCCAUAUAAAUACAUGCACACAUGUAGAUUGUUUAACAUUUAAAUUAGUCGAUUCUGGAUGCUGGGCUCUGGUUUGAAUUUGGAUUUCCAUUUCGAUUCCCAUUGAGAAGAUUGCACCAAAAAAAAGCUGCUGGCAUUUGAUUUAGACGUGCUGCGUCACACGUACCCGCUUCCUCUCUUGCUCUCACUCUCUCUCUCUCAGACCACAGUCUUUGUAUUAGAUUAGUGUAUGUGUGUGUGUGUGUCAUUCAGCAUUGCUCAAUAAUUUGAUUCUUGCAUUCUUUAACAGUCGUCCAAGUGGAUUCUGGCACUAUUUUUAUGUGUGGGGCAGCAAUCUGUUUUAAAUUAAACAUUUCUUUUUUGUUUUGUUGGAGUUCGUUUGUUUUUUGUAAACUAAACAAACGGGAAUUUAUUUACUUGCGCAGGCAUAAACAAACAAAUAAGUGCAUGUGUGUGUGUCUGAUUGUUUUCUUAAUAGUUUUUUUUUCGGUACAAAGACACACACACACAAGUGCGUGCGCGCGCGUACAAUCAAAUUUAUCAUCAAAAGUUCAACGAUACUGAUCGAUCAAGGUUAAAAGGUUGAAAAAAAAAUUGUGGGCGCAGCAGAUGCCAAAAAGGAAAGCGCGUUUAAUUAAACAAUGAUCAGCCCAUCCAUCAUACACGCACUCACACACGCGCACACACUCUAUAAUCGCAUUGUUCCGUUAGUGUGUUUAGUCGGCCUACUAUCGAUAUGGAUUUAUAUCCUUUUGAGGCGCCCAAUUCAGAAUGUAUUCACCCCUCCCUCCCCGCAUGUAUUUUUAUGUUUUAAUCCCUGAAACACACAGAAACUAAAAGCAGUACAAUUAUUAUUUCUUAUUGUUUUUGUAUUUAAUUUUAUUUUUUUGUCCAUUAUUUAAUUGUAAUUUAUUUCUGAAUUUGUGCAUACAAUAUUUAGUUGCCGCGUCUAACGUGCGUAAUUAUCGAAUACUAUCGAAUAGCGUAAGCGGGCAUGUAUUAUGUAAGAGAGAACUUCCAAAGUGUUCAGGCCAAAAGUUAAUUUUCCCCCACAUAGCGAUAUAUCCAUAUGUAUUGUACACAUAUUUGUAAAAUUCAAUUGUUUAUAUGUUUAAUUGUAUAUACUAAACGAGAAAAUAUGUCUUCUUUAAAAUGUAUUUAAGUAUUUUGGAUCAAAGCAACGAAUCGAACUUGAAAUUAUGAUGAUAUCCAAUGACUGAACUGAUAAAGGCAGCGAAUACUUUAUAUCUAGAGCAUAUUUUUGAUACUAACGACUAUUGUAUAUAAGUGUAACCCAUACAUUGACUAGCCUAAGAUCCUGAUAUCAUUUUUUUUUUGUUUUUCAAUAUUUUACGUAUUACCUGCCCUGAUAUAUCUCUACAUAUAUCCAUUUAACUCGAAUCCCUGCAACGUGUAACCCAACAACGAAUGUCUAAUUGCUAAGUUCUAGCCUGUAGAUCGAUGCUAAGUCUUUACGAUAAAAUUUUAUAACUAAAAAACACACAUACAAUACAAGUCUGCAUGCACGUAAUGAGAUUCCCCCCAAAACGCGAACACGCUCCAUGGCAAAAUAUUUAAAAUUGUUUCCUCCGCAGAGAGAAAGAAAGAAGAGUAUUUUAACGAUAAUUAUCAUAUAAUGUAUGGCAUUCAUAAGGAAUAUAUCAAUAAUUCGCUUUUGGAGGCGUGCGACUGCCACUGCGACUGGGCUCUUUCCUUGUUGUAUUCUAUUAAUUUAUGGCCCACAGAGAGAACAUUUUUAUAGAUAAACAUGCGGAACGAAAUUGUCUGAAAUGGCAAUUAAAUGAAACCGAAACUGAAACUGAAAAACUCGCCAGAACUUGGCAUUCAUGUGCAGCUAAAUAGGGAUAGAUAUAUCAACGUAUACUCUACACAAGCAAAUAUAUUACAUAAAUACAUAUAUGCAUGUAUACAUUAUAUACGCAAACAUCCAAAUGAUGUUUGCAAUUGUCAUUGACUAAAAACAACAACUAAACUAAACUAUUUAUACUUAUCGUACAAUAAAGCUUUUUGGCAAAUAUCAAUGAAA